rnacentral:rRNA from 1 species
AUACGGAGGGUGCAAGCGUUACUCUGAAUCACUGGGCGUAAAGGAUGCGUAGGCUGGAUGUCAAGUUGGAAGUGAAAUCCUAUGGCUUAACCAUAGAACUGCUUCCAAGACUGGCAACCUAGAGUGAGGGAGAGGCAGAUGGAAUUAGUGGUGUAGGGGUAAAAUCCGUAGAUAUCACUAGGAAUACCGAUUGCGAAGGCGAUCUGCUAGAACUCUACUGACGCUAAGGCAUGAAAGCGUGGGGAGCAAACAGGAUUAGAUACCCCAGUAGUCC